UACGUAGGUGGCAAGCGUUUGUCCGGAUUUACUGGGCGUAAAGAGCGCGCAGGCGGUCGUUCAAGUCGAGUGUGAAAGCCCCCGGCUCAACUGGGGAGGGUCACUCGAUACUGAUCGACUCGAAGGCAGAAGAGGGAAGCGGAAUUCCCGGUGUAGUGGUGAAAUGCGUAGAUAUCGGGAGGAACACCAGUGGCGAAGGCGGCUUUCUGGGCCUUACCUGACGCUGAGACGCGAAAG
rnacentral:rRNA from 1 species